rnacentral:rRNA from 1 species
UGCAGUCGAGCGGUAGCACAGAGAGCUUGCUCUCGGGUGACGAGCGGCGGACGGGUGAGUAAUGUCUGGGAAACUGCCUGAUGGAGGGGGAUAACUACUGGAAACGGUAGCUAAUACCGCAUAACGUCGCAAGACCAAAGUGGGGGACCUUCGGGCCUCAUGCCAUCAGAUGUGCCCAGAUGGGAUUAGCUAGUAGGUGGGGUAACGGCUCACCUAGGCGACGAUCCCUAGCUGGUCUGAGAGGAUGACCAGCCACACUGGAACUGAGACACGGUCCAGACUCCUACGGGAGGCAGCAGUGGGGAAUAUUGCACAAUGGGCGCAAGCCUGAUGCAGCCAUGCCGCGUGUGUGAAGAAGGCCUUCGGGUUGUAAAGCACUUUCAGCGGGGAGGAAGGCGUUAAGGUUAAUAACCUUGUCGAUUGACGUUACCCGCAGAAGAAGCACCGGCUAACUCCGUGCCAGCAGCCGCGGUAAUACGGAGGGUGCAAGCGUUAAUCGGAAUUACUGGGCGUAAAGCGCACGCAGGCGGUCUGUCAAGUCGGAUGUGAAAUCCCCGGGCUCAACCUGGGAACUGCAUUCGAAACUGGCAGGCUAGAGUCUUGUAGAGGGGGGUAGAAUUCCAGGUGUAGCGGUGAAAUGCGUAGAGAUCUGGAGGAAUACCGGUGGCGAAGGCGGCCCCCUGGACAAAGACUGACGCUCAGGUGCGAAAGCGUGGGGAGCAAACAGGAUUAGAUACCCUGGUAGUCCACGCCGUAAACGAUGUCGAUUUGGAGGUUGUGCCCUUGAGGCGUGGCUUCCGGAGCUAACGCGUUAAAUCGACCGCCUGGGGAGUACGGCCGCAAGGUUAAAACUCAAAUGAAUUGACGGGGGCCCGCACAAGCGGUGGAGCAUGUGGUUUAAUUCGAUGCAACGCGAAGAACCUUACCUGGUCUUGACAUCCACAGAACUUAGCAGAGAUGGUUUGGUGCCUUCGGGAACUGUGAGACAGGUGCUGCAUGGCUGUCGUCAGCUCGUGUUGUGAAAUGUUGGGUUAAGUCCCGCAACGAGCGCAACCCUUAUCCUUUGUUGCCAGCGGUUCGGCCGGGAACUCAAAGGAGACUGCCAGUGAUAAACUGGAGGAAGGUGGGGAUGACGUCAAGUCAUCAUGGCCCUUACGACCAGGGCUACACACGUGCUACAAUGGCAUAUACAAAGAGAAGCGACCUCGCGAGAGCAAGCGGACCUCAUAAAGUAUGUCGUAGUCCGGAUUGGAGUCUGCAACUCGACUCCAUGAAGUCGGAAUCGCUAGUAAUCGUAGAUCAGAAUGCUACGGUGAAUACGUUCCCGGGCCUUGUACACACCGCCCGUCACACCAUGGGAGUGGGUUGCAAAAGAAGUAGGUAGCUUAACCUUCGGGAGGGC